GAUGAAGAACGUAGCGAAAUGCGAUAAGUAAUGUGAAUUGCAGAAUUCAGUGAAUCAUCGAAUCUUUGAACGCACCUUGCGCCCUUUGGCCAUUCCGAAGGGCAUGCCUGUUUGAGUAUCAUGAACACCUCAACUCUUCAUGGUUUUCCAUGAUGAGCUUGGACUUUGGGGGUCUUGCUGGCCUGUGGGUCGGCUCCUCUCAAAUGAAUCAGCUUGCCGGUUUUUGGUGGGCAUCACAGGUGUGAUAACUAUCUACGCUUGUGGUUUUCCACCAGGGUAACCUUCAGCAGUGGAGGUUCACUGGAGCUUACAAAUGUCUCUCCUCUGUGAGGACAGCCCUUUGAACGUUUGAUCUCAAAUCAGGUAGGACUACCCGCUGAACUUAAGCAUAUCAAUAAGCGGAGGA
rnacentral:misc_RNA from 1 species